CCCCCUUCCUCACUGUCACUAGUCACACCCUCCCUCACUCUGUCAUUAGAGUGAGGGGGUGACUAGUGACAGAGUGAGGGGUUGACAGGUGACAGAGUGAGGGAAGGGGUGACUAGUGGCAGAGUGAGGGAAGGAAGGGGUGACUAGUGACAGAGUGAGGAAGGGGGUGACACAGUGACAGAGUGAAGGAGGUGGUGACUAUCACUAGUCACCCAAUCCCUCCCUCUGUCACUAAUCACCACCUCCCUCACUCUGUCACUAGUCACCCCUUCCCUCCCUCACUCUGUCACUAGUCACCCCCUCCCUCUCUCUGUCACUAGUCACACCCCAGUGGGGGGGUGACUAGUGAC